rnacentral:rRNA from 1 species
CCUACGGGGUGCUGCAGUGGGGAAUAUUGCACAAUGGGGGAAACCCUGAUGCAGCGACGCCGCGUGAGUGAAGAAGUAUUUCGGUGUGUAAAGCUCUAUCAGCAGGGAAGUAAAUGACGGUACCUGACUAAGAAGCUCCGGCUAACUACGUGCCAGCAGCCGUGGGAAUACGUAGGGUGCAAGCGUUAUCCGGAUUUACUGGGGGUAAAGGGAGCGUAGGCGGCGAGGUAAGCCAGAUGUGAAAGCCUGCGGCUCAACUGCAGGACUGCUUUUGGAAAUAUCUAGCUAGAUUGCAGGAGAGGUAAGCGGAAUUCGUAGUGUAGCGGUGAAAUGCGUAGAUAUGAGUAAGAACACCGGUGGCGAAGGCAGCUUACUGGACUGUAAAUGACGCUGAGGCUCGAAAGCGUGGGUAGCAAACAGGAUUAGAUACCCGAGUAGUC